AAGGUUCGAGUCGAGCGAAGCGAGAAAGCGUUGCCGCAGGCAACGACCCGAAGGGCGAGGCGCAACGCGCCGAGUAAUCCUUCCCCCACCACCA
rnacentral:sRNA from 1 species